rnacentral:rRNA from 1 species
UACAGAGGGUGCGAGCGUUAAUCGGAAUUAUUGGGCGUAAAGGGAGCGUAGGCGGAUGAUCAAGUGGUAGGUGAAAUACCUGGGCUUAACCUGGAGAAGUCCUAUCAGACUGGUCGUCUAGAAUGUGGUAGAGGAAGGUGGAAUUCCUGGUGUAGCGGUGAAAUUCGUAGAUAUUGGGAAGAACACCGGUGGCGAAGGCGGCGACCUGGUCCGAUACUGGACGCUGAGGCGCGAAAGCGUGGGGAGCAAACAGG